UUUCGAAUCAUUCACAAUGGGCGAAAGCCUGAUGGUGCGACGCCGCGUGAGGGAUGAAGGCCUUCGGGUUGUAAACCUCUGUCACCGGGGAAGAAACGCUGCAUUUUAAUAGAAUGCAGCCUGACUUAACCCGGAGAGGAAGCAGUGGCUAACUCUGUGCCAGCAGCCGCGGUAAUACAGAGACUGCAAGCGUUAUUCGGAUUCACUGGGCGUAAAGGGUGCGCAGGCGGCCGAGUGUGUGAGGCGUGAAAGCCCGAUGCUUAACAUCGGAAUUGCACCUCAAACUACACGGCUAGAGCAUUGGAGAGGGUAGCAGAAUUCAUGGUGUAGCAGUGAAAUGCGUAGAUAUCAUGAGGAAUACCAGAGGCGAAGGCGGCUACCUGGACAAUUGCUGACGCUCAGGCACGAAAGCGUGGGGAGCAAAAG
rnacentral:rRNA from 1 species